rnacentral:rRNA from 1 species
AAGUCGUAACAAGGUUUCCGUAGGUGAACCUGCGGAAGGAUCAUUCAUAAUAAGUGUUUUAUGGCACUUUUUAAAUCCAUAUCCACCUUGUGUGCAAUGUCAGUCGUUCUCUUCUAUGGGAACGACCAAACAUCAACCAACUCUUUAACUCUUUGUCUGAAAAAUAUUACGAAUAAAAUAAUUCAAAAUACAACUUUCAACAACGGAUCUCUUGGCUCUCGCAUCGAUGAAGAACGCAGCGAAAUGCGAUACGUAAUGUGAAUUGCAGAAUUCAGUGAAUCAUCGAAUCUUUGAACGCAUAUUGCGCUCUUUGGUAUUCCGAAGAGCAUGCUUGUUUGAGUAUCAGUAAACACCUCAAAUCCUUCAAUUUGUUUUGAAGGCUUUGGACUUGAGCAAUCCCAACACCAGUCUUUACGAUCGGUGGAGGGUUGCUUGAAAUGCAGGUGCAGCUGGACAUUCUCCUGAGCUAUAAGCAUAUUUAUUUAGUCCCGUCAAACGGAUUAUUACUUUUGCUGCAGCUAACAUAAAGGGAGUCUGACCAUAUUGGCUGACUGAUGCAGGAUUUCACAAGGGUCGGCAACGAUUCUUGUAAAACUCGAUCUCAAAUCAAGUAAGACUACCCGCUGAACUUAA